UCCUACGGGGGGCAGCAGUGGGGAAUAUUGCACAAUGGGCGCAAGCCUGAUGCAGCGACGCCGCGUGAGUGAAGAAGUAAUUCGUUAUGUAAAGCUCUAUCAGCAGGGAAGAAAAUGACGGUACCUGAGUAAGAAGCCCCGGCUAACUACGUGCCAGCAGCCGCGGUAAUACGUAGGGGGCAAGCGUUAUCCGGAUUUACUGGGUGUAAAGGGAGCGUAGACGGCAGUGCAAGUCUGGAGUGAAAGGCGGUGGUCAAACCCCGG
rnacentral:rRNA from 1 species